CUAAUACUCCCUCCGUCCCGAAAUACUUGUCAUCAAACUGGAUAAAAGGGAUUGUAUCUAGAUGUAUUUUAGUUUUAGAUACGUCUCUUUUUAUCCAUUUUGAUGACAAGUAUUUUCAGGCGGAGGGAGUAUGUA
rfam:Triticum aestivum genome assembly, contig: Triticum_aestivum_CS42_TGACv1_scaffold_726411_1BL